rnacentral:rRNA from 1 species
AACGUAGGAGGCAAGCGUUAUCCGGAAUUACUGGGCGUAAAGGGCUCGUAGGCGGCCAACUAAGUCAGACGUGAAAUCCCUCGGCUUAACCGGGGAACUGCGUCUGAUACUGGAUGGCUUGAGUUUGGGAGAGGGAUGCGGAAUUCCAGGUGUAGCGGUGAAAUGCGUAGAUAUCAGGAGGAACACCGGUGGCGAAGGCGGCUACCUGGACAGAAACUGACGCUGAGGCGCGAAAGCUAGGGGAGCAAACAGG